rnacentral:lncRNA from 1 species
GAAUUGAGUGUUUUGGAAGCAUAGAGUGUAAGGAACAUGUUGAGGAGAAGAGUUUUGAGAGAAUCGAGCCCAAAGAUCAAGAAAAGACGAAGAUUCUGAGUCGGGACGAAAAAGGAGCGAUCGGCGGUCAAAGGAGCGUUGACCGCCGAAUUUUAGAGGUUUAAAGGGUGCAAACGGCGACCCAGACGGCGAUCGCCGUCCAGGUCGCCGAAUUCCCUGACUGAUUUUUGGCCUAAGGUGGAUUAUUCGGCGAUCGCCGAAUCCGAGAACAAAACCGGCCAUUUUCGGCGACCCAGACGGCGAUCGCCGAACGGGUCGCCGAACGGGGCAGUUGCGUCGUUUCUUCCGCGUUUUUUACGUUUUUCGAGGUGUUUUCGGUUUUGAACUUUGUUUUUCAUCCUAAGACUAUAAAUAGGUCCUCUUUUGACCUAUCUGGGGUUCCCAGCUUUCAUAUUUCAGUUUUUAGCUUUUAGAAUACUUUAGCUUUAGCUUUCCAGUUUUCAAGGCUUGGAUCAAGAUUGAAGAUUCAAGCCGCUACAAUCGUUUUAUUACGGGUUUUAUACAAUUAGUUUUUACAAUCGCUUUCAAUUUAAUUAUGUUUAUGUUUUAUUUUAGCAUGUCUGGCUAGUUUCCUUUAGCUGAUUCUAGGGUUUGUAAAUAGUUGAUUGAAUUUAUGUGAUUUAUUUGUUAAUACCUUUGUGCCUUCCAGUUUAUGAUUCAUAAUUCCUGGUGCUUAAUUUCUUGUGAAUUAUCUGAUCAAUAGUUUGCAUGUUUAGCUAUUCGGUUUGAGACCUAGCGGAGAUAACUGUUUAGCGGAUUCAGGAAUGUAUGAUAUGAUUUUAACCUUGAGACCUAGCGGAGAUAGGUGGAUCAUAGGGAGCUAUUCUUAUGAGCUAUUGGGAGUUAGUAGAUUUUCUUGAGACCUAACGGAGAUAGAUAAUUUACUAAUCUACGAUCGUUGCUGCUCUAGCGAGAGUGAUUGAUUAAUUAAGUGAUCUCUCAUCAUAACUGGAUUAAACUGGUACAUAGGAUUAAUAGAUUAAUUAUGUAGAUUUAGUUAAUGAAUUUACUACCCUAGGAUCAGUUGUCUUUAUUAUUUGAUAUUUCUUACGUGUUUAGAUUUAUUGCGUUUUAGUUUUAGUUAAUUAAAUCUUCUUCAUAAUCGUUUACCUGCAUACUGUGAGAGUCUGUUUAGGGAAUAGAUAGAGUGAUUUCGUUUUACAGUCUCUGUGGAUACGAUACUCUGCUUGCUAUUUCUGUGCUACAAUCACACCGUGUUAGUUGCGGUAUUUUUGUUGCUAAUAAAAUAGUGAUCAACUUUUUGGCGCCGUUGCCAACAAUCAAUUGCCUUGCCAACAGCCGGUGCAUUCGAGUCGGGAACUUCAAAUGCAAGAGAUAUCAGAAAUCCGGUCCUGAGAAUGACACAGCGCAUCUUGGCUUAUACGGUGCUUGCCCGCAAGGACAACACCCAUGUGACACAACAGGAGCUGUUCAUCAUCUGGGGGAUGCUCACACGCACCCAAAUGGACUUGACUCACAUCUUCCUCAGGCAGAUAUUCAAGGCAUCUAGGACUACCGCAGGAGUGAUCACCAUUGGAGGGAUGAUAACGCCCCUUGCACGCCGCAUUUGUCCCGCAAUCGCUCAGUGGGAUGCUUUGGAGGGCGACAAUCUGCUCAAUGCCCGUCGGUUGGUCAACAUGCGAUUCUUGAGGAGCGCCCAACCACCUUUCAAAUUGGUGCAAACUGAUGGCGACCACUUCCCCCUGCCGAACCCGCCUCUUACUCGUGUGGGCGGACGUUUUGAAACGCAGAACUGGUUGAUGAACACAAACGCCCACGUAAGGGCUGUAGCAGGGAUGCCGGCGGACGAGCAGAUCACGCAGCAGGUGUACGAGGAGGAAGAGGUGCAAGAGGAACCCGCCGCCGACGCAGCAGGAGACCAAUGGGGACCGAGUCCUCAUUUUGAUGUGACUGAUCUUACUGACAGGAUGCAGCGGUUGCAGGCCUUCGCCGAGCAACAAGAGGCGCAGCUCACAGUGAUGCGCACUGAUGUCACAGCGGUUAGACUGCAGCAACAGCCAUGGACGCCUAUCAGCGCGAGCAGUUCGCUCACUAUGGCGCUUUGAGGAUUACGCCCGAGCGGAGUUCAACAGGCAGGCGACAUUUGAGGCGUGGCAGCGGGCGGAGAUGGAGAGGCAGCAACAGGAGUAUGCGAGGCAGAUGGCUAUGCAGGAGGAACUCCUAAGACAGUUUCAGGAGUUCCAGAGGAGACAGGGACCGCCAUCUUGAGGAUUAGUAAGUAUGCUAACCAUAACUUUUAUCUAUUUUCCUCAACCUUAUUUCGAGCAUUAGCUCCUUAAUAAGUUUGGGGGAGGGGGAUGGAGAUUAGUUAUGGUUUGCAUUUUUAGCCUAGCAUUUUUCUGUUCUUUUUGAUGUUUUGGUGAGGAAAUUCUCUAGAUCUUUUAUUCGUGGGCAUGUACCUAAAUUGAUUAAUUCUCUCAGACUUAUUCCGUAUUUUCUGUGCUAUUUGAUUGGUUGUUGCUCCAUUUAGUUGUUUGGUAAGGUGCCUGUGAAGAUUUCUGCGAAAAAGAAGGUAAUUCCUAAUUUUUCUUGAUAUGGUGACAUGAUUUGAACCGAUGAGUGUGAUUGAUGAGUAGAUUUUGCCUUGAAUUUUGACGUUGAACAAGCUGGUGAGUAAUUGAGCCUUAACUGCCCAUUUUUGCAGUUUGUUCUUUGUUUUUGAGAGUUGUCAUGCAUGUAGUGCACUUCUAGAACUUGCCAUGAGUCUUGGUCGAGGUUGCUCGUUGUGUUCAAGAGUUUGAGAUGAUCUUAGGCCAUCUUUUGUAAGCCACGUUAUAUCCCAAACACUAACCUGAAAACAUUAAUCCCUUGUUAACCGUGUUUGAGCCGUUCUGAGCUUUUAAUUCAUUAACCGGACGAUAGGGGGUGAUGGAGUUUAUGGGGAUCGUUAUGUGGUAUUUGUGAUGGGUUUAUUGAAAAUAAGGGGUGAAAGAAAAAGAUUCUAGUCAUUCUUAUAAGCUCAAGAAAAAGAAAAGAAAGGAAGAAGUUUGAUGGAAGUUGUUUGAGAAAGUCGAGUGAUAAUUGAAAAAUUCAUGAGAAAUCGACUUCGUUGUUAUUAGAAAAGUGAGAGCAUAAAGGAAUGUCUAGCAUGAUUUGUGAUGAUUAUACCCCUUGAUUUGUGAUGAUUAUGAAGAUAUUGUUAGGUAGAAGAUGGAAUUUUAUUCCAUGCUUAAAUGGUGAAGUCAUAGGUUGUGUAAUCAAUUUACUAUGAGUCACUAAGCCAAAUUUCCCUACCUAAUCCAAUGUCCCUACAUUAUAACCUAAAAUUAAAGACCUAUUUGAUCUUACUCUUGGCACACUUUUAGCGAUGGAGAUUUUGAGACGAGUGGCAAGCAUAUGGUAAGUAAUCUGCAUUGUAUGAGUUUCGAUGAGUGAUACACGUCCUUUAUCCAUCAAUUGAGAGUUGAGUGAAACACUUUUAUCUUGAGAGUCAAUUGUUGGAAUGUCAAGGUUGAAUUUGCCAUUGAUUGUGCUUGUUGGUGAUUUUUGUGUUCCUGUAUUGAGGAUUUGAGGGAAUUCGAAAAAGUUUUAUUGUUCUGAGGCAUCGAUGAUCCAAUCAUCUUACCCAUUUGUGUUUAUUGUUUUGUUCUUCUCGUUGUUCGAGGACGAGCAACAUCUUAAGUUUGGGGGAGUUGAUAAACACUCAUUUUGCAUGGUUUUUAUGGUUUAUAUUCUGUAGUUUAAGUCAAUUUUACACCCGUUUCAUUAUGGUUUAGAGUUUAUUGCCUAUUAUUUCGUGAUUUCACGUUUGGGUGUAGUUUUGACUGUUUGGAUGCAGAAUUGAGUGUUUUGGAAGCAUAGAGUGUAAGGAACAGGUUGAGGAGAAGAGUUAUGAGAAAAUCGAGCCCAAAAAUCAAGAAAAGACGAAGAUUUUGGAGUCGGGACGAAAAAGGAGCGAUCGGCGGUCAAAGGAGCGUUGACCGCCGAACUUUGGGCGUUUAAAGAGAGAAAACGGCGACCCAGACGGCGACCGCCGGCCAGGUCGCCGAAAUCUCUGACUGAAUUUUGGCUUGGUGCUGAAAACUCGGCGGUCGCCGAAUCAUAGAGCAAAUUGGCCGAUUUUCGGCGACCCAGACGGCGAUCGCCGAACGGGCGGUGUUUGCGUUCGUGUUUCUUCCGUGUUUUUACGUUUUCGAGGUGUUUUCGGUUUUGAACUUUGUUUUUCAUCCUAAGACUAUAAAUAGGUCCUCUUUUGACCUAUCUGGGGUUCCCA